AAUACCAACUUCUGCAUUGUGAUUGACUGAUAACAGGAACUUGCGCUUCGUGUAAUACUGACGGUGACGAGGUUGCACUUUCUAAACAAUGUAAACAAAAUAGUAAUCCAGCAUACAGUCCCAGUGGGAACGUUGAUGCCUUGGCUUGGAAGUGCAAUUGCUUUAAUGGUGACUGUGUAGAGGAUUGGCUUUCGAGUCUUCAACAACGCAAUGUCGUUUUCAAAGGUUUUCGAAAAAAGGAAACACCUGAGUGUUCGAUUUUCCACAGAAGUGAAUAAGAUUGCGAUCCAGCAUCCAAGUUUUUCUGGUCGAACACACCAAAUAUUACAUAGAAUUGGGUUAACCUGCAGUGCAGUGAGCAGCAGUUAACACGUAUCGUUCAGAAAUAAGAGAACAACCACAAAAGAAUUGAUUGGUUGGUGUAUACACCAAUAACCCUUGCCAUGGCCACUUUCCCAGCUUAGAAAUAGCUCCUCCAACUAUUUUCGAAUUGCCUGCUGAAUCACCAACAACUUAAUAUUUAUUACUGUACACAAUAAUAGUUUGAUGCCGAGCACCAUAGGUUUCAGAACAACAAGCAUGAGUUGGUGUUUAUGGAAAUAAAUUCAAAUAAUGUCUUGAUCUAUCUUUUUUAUUAUGUGAUCGUGUCUCACUAUCGUUAUUUUUUCCGAUCCUGUAUUGUUUUUUUUUAACUGUGUUGUCAUAUUAUACUUUGCAUUCAUUUGACUUUUUGUGUCGUUAAACUUUCUACAAUCAGCCAAACACAAUCUAAUUGCUUUGUGUGAAAUUGCAACUACAUAGUAAUCUGUUUUAAUGUUAUUACUGCAACCAUGUGUGGAUUGCUUCUAUAAAAUUACUACCUUUCUGAAAAAAGAGUUAGAAAUGGAAAGCUAUGACUAUCCAGAAAUGUGUUGGAACAGCUAAACAAGUAUUGUUAAAUUUUAUAUA